CCUAAGUGGGACGUACCAGGGAGAUAUUUUCCUCCUGAGGUUACUUACCGAAAUGGUGACGUGAGCCUGGAAUGGCCAGGAGCCACUACAUAGUACCUAAAAUAAACCCACACUGCGGGAGGCAGAACUAAGACAGAGAAAAAUGGAAUUCUGAAGAUAUUAUUAGAGCUGCUAUCAAUCUGGCCCUAGCCCCGAACUUUUCAAUUACAUGGGCCAAUAGAUUUUCUCCUCCCACCCCAUCUUCUUGGCUGAAGCCAGUUUGAAUUAGUUUUUGUCUUUUGCCACCAACACUGAGUUUUGAUAUGGAGACAGAUGAAAAGACAGCAUUCCUGAUCCUGAGGCGGCAGACGUAAACUCAAGUGUGAGAAAUUGUUGGGAAGAUUGAAAGAGCAGACUCGAGGAGGCUGUGCUUCAAGAGCAGCUUUCCAGAACCACACCACAGGACUGGCUGCUUCUGGGCCCCACAGCCAUGAUGCCUCUGCACCAAUCAGGAAGCUGCUGGUUUUAGAAUAACCAAAUGUCUCCACCCGUGUUUGCCAGUAAAAUCAUCUCCCUAUG